rnacentral:rRNA from 1 species
UGGCUGGUGUUCUAACGUGGGCCCGUGAACCGGGUUGCGGACAGUGUCUGGUGGGUAGUUUGACUGGGGCGGUCUCCUCCUAAAGAGUAACGGAGGAGCACGAAGGUUGGCUAAUCCUGGUCGGACAUCAGGAGGUUAGUGCAAUGGCAUAAGCCAGCUUGACUGCGAGCGUGACGGCGCGAGCAGGUGCGAAAGCAGGUCAUAGUGAUCCGGUGGUUCUGAAUGGAAGGGCCAUCGCUCAACGGAUAAAAGGUACUCCGGGGAUAACAGGCUGAUACCGCCCAAGAGUUCAUAUCGACGGCGGUGUUUGGCACCUCGAUGUCGGCUCAUCACAUCCUGGGGCUGAAGUAGGUCCCAAGGGUAUGGCUGUUCGCCAUUUAAAGUGGUACGCGAGCUGGGUUUAGAACGUCGUGAGACAGUUCGGUCCCUAUCUGCCGUGGGCGCUGGAAGAUUGAGGGGGGCUGCUCCUAGUACGAGAGGACCGGAGUGGACGCAUCACUGGUGUUCGGGUUGUCAUGCCAAUGGCACUGCCCGGUAGCUACAUGCGGAAGAGAUAAGUGCUGAAAGCAUCUAAGCACGAAACUUGCCCCGAGAUGAAUCUUCCCUGAGCCUUUAAGGCUCCUGAAGGAACGUUGAAGACGACGACGUUGAUAGGCCGGGUGUGUAAGCGCAGCGAUGCGUUGAGCUAACCGGUACUAAUGAACCGU